rnacentral:rRNA from 1 species
UCGAUCUGGCUCAGAACGAACGCUGGUGGCGUGUCUUAUACAUGCAAGUCGAGCGGUCCGCAAGGAUAGCGGCGAACGGGUGAGUAACGCGUAGGCAAUCUGCCCCGCAUAUUGGGAUAGCCGUGCCAACGCGCGGAUAAUACCGAAUAACGUGGCCCCGGACAUCCGGGGUUGACGAAAGAUUCAUCGAUGCGGGAUGAGCUUGCGUCCGAUUAGCUAGUUGGCGGGCAACGGCCCACCAAGGCGACGAUCGGUAGCCGGCCUGAGAGGGUGAUCGGCCACAUUGGGACUGAGAUACGGCCCAGACUCCUACGGGAGGCAGCAGUAGGGAAUAUUGCACAAGUGGGGGAAACCCUGAUGCAGCAACGCCAACCGUGUGGGAAGAAGCAUUUCGGUGUAGUAAACCACUGUCGUGAGGAAUAAUACGCGGUUCGGCCACGGGGGAAUGUACCUCGAGAGGAAGCACCGGCAAACUUCGUGCCAGCCGCUGC